UACGUAGGGGGCUAGCGUUGUCCGGAUUUAUUGGGCGUAAAGAGCGUGUAGGCGGCCUGUCACGUCGGCUGUGAAAACCCGGGGCUCAACCCCGGGCCUGCAGUCGAUACGGGCAGGCUAGAGUUCGGCAGGGGAGACUGGAAUUCCUGGUGUAGCGGUGAAAUGCGCAGAUAUCAGGAGGAACACCGGUGGCGAAGGCGGGUCUCUGGACAGUUCCUGACACUGAGACACGAAGGCCAGGGGAGCAAACGGG
rnacentral:rRNA from 1 species